rnacentral:rRNA from 1 species
UACGUAGGGUGCGAGCGUUGUCCGGAAUUAUUGGGCGUAAAGGGCUCGUAGGCGGUUUGUCGCGUCGGGAGUGAAAACCAGGUGCUUAACACCUGGCUUGCUUUCGAUACGGGCAGACUAGAGGUAUGCAGGGGAGAACGGAAUUCCUGGUGUAGCGGUGAAAUGCGCAGAUAUCAGGAGGAACACCGGUGGCGAAGGCGGUUCUCUGGGCAUUACCUGACGCUGAGGAGCGAAAGUGUGGGGAGCGAACAGG